AACCUGGUUGAUCCUGCCAGUAGUCAUAUGCUUGUCUCAAAGACUAAGCCAUGCACGUCUAAGUACAAACUAAAUGAUGGUGAAACUGCAAAUGGCUCAUUACAACGGUUAUGAUGUACCCGGGAGUUCCGAUGGAUAUUUCCAGUAACACUAGAACUAAUACAUGCUCCUGCGUNUAUUAGUUUCGCACAGUCCGUCGCUGAGUCAUGGUAAACAGUUGAUCGACUCGACGUCCCGGAACAGUUUCCGCCCCAUCAGCUUCGAUGGUUGGGUAUUGGCCUACCAUUGCAACAACGGGUAACGAGGAAUUAGGGUUUGAUUUCGGAGAGGGAGCCUGAGAAACGGCUACCACAUCUACGGAUGGCAGCAGGCGCGCAAAUUACCCAAUGCAGACACUGUGAGGUAGUGACGAGAAAUAAUAAAGCGGGACUUCUGUUUCGCUAUUAUAAUGAGGAAUAACCAAAGGUCAUUCCGAUUAGCAACUGAUGGGAAAGUCUGGUGCCAGCAGCCGCGGUAAUACCAGCGUCAGUAGCAUAUAUUAAAAUUGUUGCAGUUAAAACGUCCGUAGUCUGUACGUCGUCCCAAACUCACUGCAGUCUUCGU
rnacentral:rRNA from 1 species